GUCGAGUUAUUUGUAUCUAACCACAUUAGUUUCUUCACAAUGAGCGUUAUAGGAAUCUACGUCGUCAAUUUCUAAAUACUGUCGUCUCUAUUUUCUUUAUACAACUGUCGUUCUAUGAAAUUUGUAUUGCUUUUUAAGAUUUAUUUUCUAGGUUUUGGUAGCCUACGACAAUAGAUCUACAAAAUGACAAGUAGGGAGUAAAAACACGACGG
rnacentral:lncRNA from 1 species